AUGUCGCCUCAGCCGCCCCGCGACCUCCCCGAGGACAGGGGGGAGGCCAAUGUGCUCAUCGAGGAGGCCCCGGGGUCGCCGCCGGCCAAGGAGGCGGGGGCGGGCGGCGCCGUAGGCUGGGCGCUGUCACCGGUGGCGUGGUUCCGGAUGCUGGUUAGGGAGCUGCACUGGAGCUUCGUGCUCGGCGUGGUGGCCACCUACGGCAUCAGCCAGGGGCUCGGGGGCGGCAUAUCGCGCGUCGCCUCCGACUACUACUGGAAGGACGUCCAGAAGGUGCAGCCGUCGGCGGCGCAGGUGUACCACGGCGUCACGUCCAUCCCCUGGCUUGUCAAGCCGGUCUGGGGCCUGCUCACCGACGUGCUCCCCGUCGCCGGCUACCGGCGCCGGCCCUACUUCGUCCUUGCAGGCAUAAUGGGAGUGAUUGCUAUGCUUAUAGUCUCUCUCCACAGCAAGCUUCAUGUGAUGUUCGCAUUGUUGGCAUUGAUGUCUGGGAGUGCAAGUGUAGCAAUAGCUGAUGUAACUAUAGAUGCCUGUGUGGCCGAAAACAGUCUAAUACACCCUCAUCUCGCGGCUGACAUGAUGAGCUUAAAUGGCUUCUGUUCAUCUGUUGGAGGUCUUAUUGGAUUCUCAAUAAGUGGUUUUCUUGUUCAUGCAAUUGGAUCACAGGGAACCCUUGGCAUUUUAACCAUACCUUCUGCCUUGGUAAUUUUAGCUGGAAUACUGCUAAAGGAUGUCCAUAUCCCUAACUUCCCAUACGGGCAGGCUCAUAAGAAGUUUGUAGAAGCCAGUGGAAAAAUGUUAAGGACCUUAAAAUGCCCUGAAGUAUGGCGGCCAUGUUUUUACAUGUACAUGUCGCUUGCUCUCAGUGUGGAUAUUCAAGAAGGAAUGUUCUACUGGUACACAGACCCAAGUGCAGGGCCAUCUUUCUCUGAGGGAUUCAUUGGGUUUAUCUUCGCAAUUGGUUCAGUGGGAUCUCUUGUUGGAGUUAUACUUUAUCAAAAUAUUCUGAGGGACCACUCUUUUCGCAGUGUUCUUUGUUCAAGUCAGUUGCUGCUAAGCCUGUCAGGAAUGCUUGAUCUGAUUUUGGUACUUCGUCUAAAUCUAAAACUUGGGAUACCUGAUUACUACUUCGCUGUGAUCGACGAGGGGGUCGCCAAGAUGAUCAACCGCAUCAAGUGGAUGCCUCUUUUGGUGCUCAGCUCAAAGCUUUGCCCACCUGGCAUCGAGGGCACAUUCUUCGCGCUGCUCAUGUCCAUUGACAAUAUUGGCGUGCUGUCAGCAUCUUGGAUCGGUGGGCUACUCCUUCAUUUGUUAAGGAUCACAAGAACAGAGUUCAAAAACCUCUGGGCCGCCAUCUUGAUCCGAAAUGUGAUGAGGCUACUACCGUUGGCACUGCUAUUCUUGGUGCCGAGAAGUGACCCGAAUUCUAACAUACUUCCUGCUGAUUUGCUGGCUGAGUAUGACGGUGCCGAGGCUCGACGAAUAGAGAACGUCGAGCUAACCUCCCUUACCGUUGACAAGAAUACGAGCACCGAUGCCUCGCUCCAGGAAUGCAAAACCCAGGAGCAUCUUGAUGUAGGGCAAGAUGACGACGAGGCUUCGUUACUCGCCAACAGGGGCUGA
rnacentral:rRNA from 1 species